rnacentral:rRNA from 1 species
GACGAACGCUGGCGGCGCGCCUAACACAUGCAGGUCGAGCGAGAACCGGACCUUCGGGUCCGGGGACAGCGGCGAACGGGUGAGUAACACGUGGGCAACCUGCCCUCGGCAUUGGGAUAGCCCGGGGAAACCCGGAUUAAUACCGGAUAGCCUCCGGAGCCUUCGGGCGCCGGAAGAAAGGUGGCUUCGGCAUUCGGCCGAGGAGGGGCCCGCGUCGGAUUAGCUUGUUGGUGGGGUAAUGGCCUACCAAGGCGACGAUCCGUAGCUGGUCUGAGAGGACGAUCAGCCACACUGGGACUGAGACACGGCCCAGACUCCUGCGGGAGGCAGCAGUGGGGAAUCUUGCGCAAUGGGCGAAAGCCUGACGCAGCGACGCCGCGUGCGGGAAGAAGGCCCUCGGGUUGUAAACCGCUUUCAGGAGGGACGAAGCCACUCGGGUGAACAGCCCAGAGGGUGACGGUACCUCCAGAAGAAGCCCCGGCUAACUACGUGCCAGCAGCCGCGGUAACAC